GUGGUGACCUUGGUGGUAUAGUGGUAGAGCACGCGCUCCCGGUAAGGGAUGAAACAUGGGUUCAAUUCCCACCGCACGACG